CAGUAGCCACGGUAAUACGGAGGGAGCUAGCGUUGUUCGGAAUUACUGGGCGUAAAGCGCGCGUAGGCGGUUACUCAAGUCAGAGGUGAAAGCCCGGGGCUCAACCCCGGAACUGCCUUUGAAACUAGGUGACUAGAAUCAUGGAGAGGUCAGUGGAAUUCCGAGUGUAGAGGUGAAAUUCGUAGAUAUUCGGAAGAACACCAGUGGCGAAGGCGACUGACUGGACAAGUAUUGACGCUGAGGUGCGAAAGCGUGGGGAGCAAACAGGAUUAGAUACCCGCGUAGUCCCUGUCUCUUAUAC
rnacentral:rRNA from 1 species